UACGUAGGGUGCGAGCGUUGUCCGGAAUUAUUGGGCGUAAAGAGCUCGUAGGCGGUGUGUCACGUCGUUCGUGAAAACCUGCAGCUUAACUGUGGGCGUGCGGUCGAUACGGGCAUCACUGGAGUUCGGCAGGGGAGACUGGAAUUCCUGGUGUAGCGGUGAAAUGCGUAGAUAUCGGAAGGAACACCAGUGGCGAAAGCGGCUUCCUGGUCCAGCACCGACGUUCAGGCACGAAAGCGUGGGGAGCAAACAGG
rnacentral:rRNA from 1 species